GCUGAGCCUGCCUAGAGACAUGCGUGUUUCAAUCGGGUCGAGAGCUAAAAUCCACAGCCUCAAUCUGAGCACCUACCGCGGACUCCUCUGUGAUCAGCCUAGAAGCAGCAGAUGAAAUCGCGUCGACAUUUACUACUCAGCUACGCGAGAGGAGGUUGCUGCUGGAAUAUGACCUUGAACCUUUGUGCACUGCCACGCCACGUUUUAUACUGAAGGGAUCCAACCCACAGCUUCCUGGAUGAGCACCAGCUUAGCUCCACCCCAGACUCUUACCGAUUUUCACAGGGCGCAAACGUUUCUCUCCAGCUUUUAUUUGUUAUUUGAUUUGUUUUUCUCUCCCAGAGACUCAUUCCUUGCAGUACUAGAAAUUGAACUGGACAGCCUAAUAAAGCAAACACUAGAGAAAGAAACUUCCUUCAAACAUGAUCCUCCUGCCUCAGUUCCCUGAGCAGCUGGAAUGGCUGUCGCAGAAUUUGAGUUUCAUAUAUCUGUCAGUCUUUUCUUCCUGUGUUGCUUAAAGCUUGAGUGUCAUAAUUACGCCCGUUAGCACAUUCCAUCUAAAAUGCAGUGUCCUUUUCUACUGCAAAUUUACUUUCUUUUGUUUUCUAAGACAAGAUCUCACUGUACAGGCAGGUCCUGAACUUUAGCUCUUUCUGCUUCAGUCUCUCAAGUGCUGGAAUCACAGACGUGCGGAGCUGGAAGGAGAGCAGGGAAAUAUAUUUACACAGAAAGUGGUUAGCUUCCACGUAAGACAGCCUAUUACUGAAAGGAAGAUGGUGAGGUGGGACAGUAGAGAAUCGCCUGUAGGAUCUGCCUACACUGUGCUCCUCCAUGGGCCAAUGUGUCCUCUCAAAGAGCGCUCCCUCCCAGUUUCUCCUUGAGACCCACUUGACUGUGGACUCCACAGCCCAUGCUGUGCCAAAGUAGAAACUCUGCCCUCCCUCCUCACAGAGCUCCCUUUCACCCUGUGAGAGCAGAGAGGUUCUAUCCCCUAUGGCAGUCCCGUGAUCUCCAGCUCAUCUUCUUGUCAGGACUGCUCAGUCUCUUUGGAAGAGGCUGCCUCAGCCUCAGCCUUCAAGAGGCCAAUGCUCUCCUCAGCCUCACGAAGAGAUUGGAUUCCUCCUUCUGAACUAUACUGGACCACCUGGACUUUUGCGCAUCUCUAUUUAGUCCUGAAUCUUGGGAAGUCCAUCCUGAAUUGUCCUAUCAAAAUCUUGCUUAUGACCUUGUCUAUUUCAAGAGUGCUCUAUACAGAAUUCUGUGAGUUUGAGGCCAUCCUGGUCUACACAGAGAGUUCCAGAAUAACCAGAGUUACCUUGUCUCCAAAUAAUAAUAUUAAGAGUAAGAAAAAGAAAAGAAAAAUUAUAUAGAUAUAGACAAGGUCUCACUAUGUAGCUCUGGUUAGCCUGGAACUCACUAUGGAGACUGGGCUGUUCUCAAACUCACAGAGUUCUGCUUGUUUCUACCCCCUGAGUGUUGGGAUUGAAGACAUGCCCACCACACCCAUCUUUGAUGAAAUAUUUUUAAAAUAUUUUAAAAUUAUAUUUAAUUAUUAAUAAUGAAUAUAUUUACAAAUUUUUAUAUAAUGUAUUUGAUCAUAUGCAUCUGUGCUGGAUAGGUUUUUUGGUUUGUUUGUUUUUGGGGGGGUUUUUUGAGGCAGGGUUUCUCUGUUUAGCUAUGACUGUCCUGGAACUCCCACUGUAGCCCAGGCUGGCCUCAAACUCAGAGAGAUCUGCCCACCUUUGCCUCCCAAGUGCUGAAAAUAAAGGCAUGCCCCACCCCCACCUGACUAUUCUAGAUAAUUUCAUAUCAACUUCACAUUACCUAGCAUUAUCUAAAAGUAAGGAAUCUUAAGUAAGAAUAUGUCCCAUAAUAUCCUGCUGUAGGGCAUUUUCUUAAUUAGUGAUUGAUAAAGGAGGACCCAGUCCAUUGUGGGUGGGGCCACACCUGGGCUAGUGGUCCUGAGUUCUGUAAGAAGACUGAGCAAACCAUGAGGUGUAAGCCAGUAAACAGAGUUCCUCUAUGACCUCUGCAUCAGCCCUUGUUUCCAGGUUCCUGUGCUGACUUCCUUUGAUGAUGAAGUGUGAGCUGAAUAAACCCUUUCUUUCUUGUGUUGCUUUUGGCAUGGCAUUUCAUUGCAGCAGUAGCAACCCUAACUAAGACAUCAACCCUCCCAAGCCCUCUCUCACUGCCCUCUCAACCCUCCUAUCCCUUCCUACCCAACUCUGAGAUUACUUUAUUUUUUUCUUUCUUCCCUCAUUGAGUCUACUCAAUGGAUGGUGUCUGGCUGUGCAUGCUGUUACAAUCACUGUGAGUUGAUAUGUGCGUUUGCCCUGUUUGUGUCUAGAAACAGUUUCCUUGAUGUUAUCCAUCAUCUCAGGUUCUCACAAACUUUCCAUUCCCUUUUUCACAGAGAUCCCUGAGCCUUGGGGGGAAGGGUAUAAUGUGAAUGUCCAAUUUAAGGCUGAGUACUCUGCACGUGACCAGUUGUUGGGGAGAGGGGCCAUCUGUGUUAAUUGGUAUCUACCGAAGGAGAAGCUUCUACGAUGAGGGUUGAAAGAUGCUCUGGUCUAUGGGUGUAACAAUAAGUCCUUUUAUUACUAAGUCAAUUUAGCAGAAUAAUAGCAUUUUUUCCUAGUAGACAUAGUUUCUUGGCCCCUUAAUAGUGUCAAGCACGUGUUCCAUCUCAUGGAGCAGGUCUUUAAUCCAAGGGCAAAGAGGUCGGUUACCCUUAUAAAACGCACGCCACAAUUCCAUGAAUAGGUAUAUCCUGUCAGACCAGUUAUUGUUGUAGCUCAUGAGGUUCACAGCCAGCAGAGCUCGAGGCCUACACUUCUUCUUGUCAGCGUGCACAGCAUCUUCCAGCACCAUAAAUGCCAGCCAGUAGUAAUGAGGCUCACAGAAGAGUACCAGCUUGAGGUCUCCAUGUUCGUGACUCAGACAUGCCAUGUCUUCAGCAGUAGGGUGCUAUCCCCAAGCUCUGCAGGGUCGCCAGGAAUACCGACGAUAACUGUCAUGCUUAGGGGAGUCUAUUGUGUCCCCGUUGGCCAACAACUAAAAAGGAGAUAACACAGUCCUGACAGAUGAGAAACUCUGUUCUCACGAGUUUUUAUUUAGUUUUUGAGGCAGGGUCUCACUAUGUGGUCCUAGAUGGCCUGAAACUCACAAAGCUCUUCUUUCCUGUUUCCCAACUACUGGGAUCACAGGUGUGCUUCAGUACACCCAGCCCUACUGUGGGAAAAUGUUAAGGACAUGAUUAAAGAUUCAUUUUGUUUAUUAUAACAUUGUAAUAGGGAAAAUUUGGCUGUUGCUCCACAGCGAGGGAAUUGAUUCAACUAUGACACAUCCACCUAAUGGAACAUUAUUUAGCUUUUAAAACUAUGCCAUGAUGAAUAUUCAUGGACAUGAAAAGAUGAUUAUAGUAAAUUGUUGAAAAAAUAGUUGCAUUACGAUGCCAUUUCUGUCAAUAUAGACUCAAAGAGUGUAUGUGUGUAUGUGUGUGGUGUGUUUGUGUGUGUGUGUGUAUGUGGUAUGUAUGUGUGGUAUGUGUGUGUGUGGUGUGUUGUGUGGUGUGUAUAUGUGGUGUGUGGUAUAUGUGUGUGUAUGUGGUGUGUAUGUGUGGUGUGUAUGUGUAUGGUAUGUAUGUGUGUUAUGUGUUGUGUGUUGUGUAUAGGUGGUGUGUGGUAUAUGUGUGUGUGUGGUGUGUGUGUGUGUGUGUGUGUGUGUGUGGUGUGUGUGUGUGUGUGUGUGUGUGUGGUGUUUGUGUAUGUGUUAUUAGUACCUGGUAAACCAUGAAAUCACUGGAACUUUAAUUUUUCCUUUUGACUAUAUUUCUGUUCUAGUUUCCUUUCUAUUGCUGUGAUAAAAUACUCUGACCAAAAGCAAUUUAGGGGAGGGGAGGACUUAUCUCAGUUUAUAGGUUAAAGUUGUAAAAAGACAGGAUAGAAACUCAGACGGAAACCAGAAGCAGGAAUCGAGAUGAACACUGCUGGCUGGCUCACUGCCAGGCUGGGGCUUCCAUGCCUUUCAUGUACACCCAAAGGGGCUACAUCAGUGGAUGUCGAGACACCUCCCACAGAUAUGCUAAAGGCUAAUCUGGGCACUCUCUCAGCCGGAGACUUCCUUCCUAGGUGACUCUAGGCUGUGUCAGGUUGAGAGUUAAAGCUAACUAGGACAGUGUUCCUUAUAGGUGAGUGCUUGUUUCUUUGUAAAGAGAAGAAAAUACUAAAUAUUAAUUUGGACUCAAAGCUAGACUAUGUGCUAACUGGACUGGAAAAAAAAAGUUGGCAAGAAUGUGAAAGACCUGGACUUGGGCUUACUGUUGUUGUUGUUACAGGGUUUCUCUCUACCUAGCCCUGGCUAUCCUGAAAUAGGUAGACCAAGGUGGCCUUGAACUCAGAGAUCCACCUGCCUCUGCCUCCCAAGUACUGGGAUUAAAGGUGUUCACUACCAAGUUCAGCUAGGACCUGGGAUUCUUCCCCCCAACCCCAGUACAUAAUGUUUUUAUUAAUUAUUUGGAAAUUUCAUAUAAUGCAUUUACACUCCUCAUUCUUCCCAGGGUUGCCUUACCCUCCCCCAACAAAAGAAGAAAAAAUACACCAAGUCCAAUUUGAAUUGCCGUACACUCAUUGCCCAUAUACUCAUUGGAGCAUGGUCAAACUCCCAGUGGUCAGCCCCUUAAAGAAAACUGAGCUCCCGAAGCCAUCAGUUGUGAAGUGUUAUACUCCAGCAUCUUUAUCACAAUUUUUAAGGUCUCUCUUCACUAUCUUCCUUCAGGCCUGUUUCCUUUUCUUUUUUUAGGAGGUAGGAAGAAAGGUUGUCACAAAAAGUCUUCAACGUCUCUCAUUCUCAGUUAUGAAUCUGUAGGCAUCGAAACCACCACAAAAGAAGCUCCCUGACCCAAUAGCAGCCAGGGGCAGCAUGGAUCAUGGACUUCCACACAGUUUCUGGUGGCAGUACAGACCAGGGACAUCAAUAUGGCCUCUGGCAAGACCAAGGCAGAGAAAAGUGUAUAUUGCAAGGGCAACUUUGGAAAACUGUCUGUAUUCCUAAAGCAAAAUAUCCAUUUGUUCUAUGACCCAAUAAUUUCCUUCCUAAAUUCCAAGAAGAUAAAUGUUUACAGAGAGAAGUUCCCUGUCUUGUAACAGAGUUACAUCCAUAAAAACCCAAUGUAAAAUAAAAAUGCUGUUCCGAAA